CCCUAGCCUGGGGGUCCGGCUACAUCCUACCGGGCUGCUUCUUUCGAUCGUCCCACUCACGGGGCGCACGGAUUUAGAAGCUCCGAGAGGCCGGUGGUCUGAGGACAAAUAAGACUCCUGGCCAUAGUUCGCCGCGACCUCACGUCAGGCCUUCAACAAGCUACUCUUCUAAGCCUGAGGCCUCAUUCAUAUUCCCCUUGUCUUCCUUCCAGGAGAAAGACUCUGAGGGAGGAGGGACCUGUCUUAAAGGAAAUUCCCCUGCUGGGAAGAAGGGAAGACCCUGAACAAUUGUGUACCCCACUGGUUUCAAAUGAGUAACUGGUUGUUCCUGGUUGGCCUUGAAUUUGUGAUAACUGAGUUCGGUCAGCUCCAUAUCAACACCUGUAACUUAGCAACUGCAGCUUCAGCAGGCAAAAGACAGACAGUUUAACAAACUUUGCAUUUUAACUCUAAAGUGGCAUUGUCCAUAUGAGCUCUGAAAUUUUCUUGAUGUAACUUGCCCAUCAGUUUAAACAUAUGCAUGAGAAUAGUACACAGAAUGUGGAGACUACUGGGAGUCCUAGAAAACCUGACAUCUCUUUAAACUUUCUCAUAGACAGUAUCUUUAUAUGUAACAUACUACUAUAGAUAAACACUCAUUACAAAGAGAAAUUUCAAAGGUUUCAACCACAAGCCCAGGAAUACCACAUUAGACAAAAUAAAACUGAAAACAAAUAGAAUACUUCGAAUCAAUUUCUACACAGGGAGACUGGAGAGAAGUUUUCAAGAAUCUCAUCUCUAACCAACCAUUACCGCCAUCAAUCUGUUCUAGGUCCAAAUGGCAUAAAAGCCCAAAAGGCAGAGACAGAGAUUUCCCAGUGUACAACUUUUACAUUUAGGGCUUGAAUUCUUAUUUCCAAAGUCACACAAACAAACACAGUCACACACCAAAUGGACUGUAGUUCCAACAAAUAAGCCUAGGGAGUGCCAAAUCCAAACAGUCGGAGGUCCUGUUCUCUCAAAUGAAUGGUUAAGGCUUCCAACCCAAAUAGGAUUUCUCCUGAAAUACCUUAAAUGGACAGAGGAGCCUGAAGGUCCUAUCUCCCAAAUGGCUGAGGCCUCCAGGGAGGCUCCCAACACAAAAGGGAAUUCCAGAGAGUUUCCUCAGAUGGAGAGAGGAGUUACUCCUCUGUGCGGCGAGGUACCUUAAAAUACCCUCACCGGUCCAGAUACAAACACCAAAAUCCAACGGUCAAAGGUCCAUUCCUCUAUGACAAUCAGGGAUGCCUUAAGAUGUCAGUCCCUGAUUUUCUUCACAGUGUAUCUUUACAAUCAGUUUGGGGAAUGAUCGUGUUAGGGAGAGAGGGACAGUUAUGAGGAGAGACAGUUAGGGGAAUUGUCACUCAUGAUUCUUUAUUAUUUGAGAGGCUAAGAAAAAUAUCUAGUCAGUAAAACACACUAGUGUAUCCUUAAUGCUUAAAAAAGAAAAUCCAUCCAGUCUGCAGUUGUGAAUAUGUGCAAAAUAUCAAUAAUAAUGCCUUGGGGGCUAAGAUGAACAGAGAACAUCAAUCAGCCAGGACUCCAGAAGAAAAGUUUCAAAAAUGAUAAGUCCUUCAAUGCUAUUCUCAUUACUGUUCUCACCACGUCAAUGGCUAUAAAAGACUUUUGAUUAUUUAUCUCCAGCUGACAAAUAUGAUUGAUUGGAGAUAACCACACAGUCUCAGGCUUCACAUGUAAAGCUGUCACAAGCGGCUAAAGGACAGCAGUUUCAUGCUCAAGACACCCAUCUCCUCUGACUCCAGAGCUCCACCAUCUGGUCUCAAAGUUUUUCCCUCUGAGGAAACAGCUGUAGAGAGGUAGCCCAGUUCAAUCUUGCUGACAGACACAACACUGCAACCACAGUGACACCUACUGACUUGCUGAGAGAGAGAGAGAGAGAGCUGGCUUUGCAAUGAUUAGCUCCACAGCUCCUGAGAUUGCCUCACAAAUAAGUCCUCUUGGGCAGGAGGCAGAGCGGUGCAUCAGAACAACAUGAUGAAUUCUGGUGAGACUUGGCUUUUAGGAAUAAAACAGAUGGCUCUUCUUUCUCCUUUGAGUGUUUUC